UACGUAGGGACCGAGCGUUGUUCGGAUUCAUUGGGCGUAAAGGGUGCGUAGGCGGCGCGGUAAGUCGGGUGUGAAAGCCCCCGGCUCAACUGGGGAGGGUCACGCGAUACUGAUCGACUCGAAGGCAGGAGAGGGAAGUGGAAUUCCCGGUGUAGUGGUGAAAUGCGUAGAUAUCGGGAGGAACACCAGUGGCGAAGGCGACUUCCUGGCCUGUUCUUGACGCUGAGGCGCGAAAGCUAGGGGAGCAAACGGG
rnacentral:rRNA from 1 species